AUUGAACGCUGGCGGCAGGCCUAACACAUGCAAGUCGAGCGGGGUUUUCGGACCUAGCGGCGGACGGGUGAGUAAUGCGUAGGAAGCUGCCCGAUAGAGGGGGAUACCAGUUGGAAACGACUGUUAAUACCGCAUAAUGUCUACGGACCAAAGUGUGGGACCUUCGGGCCACAUGCUAUCGGAUGCGCCUACGUGGGAUUAGCUAGUUGGUGAGGUAAUGGCUCACCAAGGCGACGAUCUCUAGCUGGUUUGAGAGGAUGAUCAGCCACACUGGAACUGAGACACGGUCCAGACUCCUACGGGAGGCAGCAGUGGGGAAUAUUGGACAAUGGGCGCAAGCCUGAUCCAGCCAAGCCGCGUGUGUGAAGAAGGCCUUCGGGUUGUAAAGCACUUUCAGCGAGGAGGAAGGGGUGUGUGUUAAUAGUACACACCUUUGACGUUACUCGCAGAAGAAGCACCGGCUAACUCUGUGCCAGCCGCCGCGGUAACAC
rnacentral:rRNA from 1 species